UGCCCAAAUUGCGGGAAUCGAACCCACAAUGUUCCGCUUACCGGGCAGAUGCCAUGUCCACUAGGCUACCCUGGAC